GAUGAACGCGGGCGGCGUGCCUAAUACAUGCAAGUCGAGCGAACAGACGAGGAGCUUGCUCCUCUGACGUUAGCGGCGGACGGGUGAGUAACACGUGGAUAACCUACCUAUAAGACUGGGAUAACUUCGGGAAACCGGAGCUAAUACCGGAUAAUAUAUUGAACCGCAUGGUUCAAUAGUGAAAGACGGUUUUGCUGUCACUUAUAGGUGGAUCCGCGCCGCAUUAGCUAGUUGGUAAGGUAACGGCUUACCAAGGCAACGAUGCGUAGCCGACCUGAGAGGGUGAUCGGCCACACUGGAACUGAGACACGGUCCAGACUCCUACGGGAGGCAGCAGUAGGGAAUCUUCCGCAAUGGGCGAAAGCCUGACGGAGCAACGCCGCGUGAGUGAUGAAGGUCUUCGGAUCGUAAAACUCUGUUAUUAGGGAAGAACAAAUGUGUAAGUAACUAUGCACGUCUUGACGGUACCUAAUCAGAAAGCCACGGCUAACUACGUGCCAGCAGCCGCGGUAAUACGUAGGUGGCAAGCGUUAUCCGGAAUUAUUGGGCGUAAAGCGCGCGUAGGCGGUUUUUUAAGUCUGAUGUGAAAGCCCACGGCUCAACCGUGGAGGGUCAUUGGAAACUGGAAAACUUGAGUGCAGAAGAGGAAAGUGGAAUUCCAUGUGUAGCGGUGAAAUGCGCAGAGAUAUGGAGGAACACCAGUGGCGAAGGCGACUUUCUGGUCUGUAACUGACGCUGAUGUGCGAAAGCGUGGGGAUCAAACAGG
rnacentral:rRNA from 1 species